rnacentral:lncRNA from 1 species
AAACAUAUGCAACAAUAAACCUGAAGUUCAUGAAUCCAGACAUAUUUUCAAUUUGGCAUAAUCAUUUGAGUCAACCAUGAUCCGAGAAGAAUUAUUUAAAAUUUACAUGGACGUCCAUUGAAGAACCAAAGAUUCUUCAAUCUAAUGAAUUGUCAUGUGAUACUUGCUCUCAAGUCAAAUUACUAAUUAGAUCAUCAUUAGGUAAAAUGGGAAUUGAAU